rnacentral:rRNA from 1 species
CCUACGGGAGGCAGCAGUGGGGAAUCUUGCGCAAUGGACGAAAGUCUGACGCAGCCACGCCGCGUGAGUGAAGAAGGCCUUCGGGUUGUAAAGCUCUGUCACCUGGGACGCGGUACCAGGGGAGGAAGCACCGGCUAACUUCGUGCCAGCAGCCGCGGUAAUACGAAGGGUGCAAGCGUUGCUCGGAAUUAUUGGGCGUAAAGGGUUGGUAGGUGGUCUUGUUUGUCUAAGGUGAAAUCCCAUGGCUUAACUGUGGAAGUGCCUUAGAAACGGCAAGACUAGAGUCCUAGAGGGGUUUGUGGAAUUCCCGGUGUAGCGGUGAAAUGCGUAGAGAUCGGGAGGAACACCAGCGGCGAAGGCGGCAAACUGGAUAGGACUGACACUCAACAACGAAAGCGUGGGGAGCAAACAGGAUUAGAUACCCUGGUAGUC